GACAAAUCUGUAGAAGAAAGUUUUGGUCAUCUGUUUUUGAUAUCAUCACCAUAAGUACUGGUCACAGUCCUCAGUAAUAUACUACAAAAACACACUAUUCACAAAAAGCUAUGAAAUUUGGAAAAAAAAGAAAAGUAAAAAAAAAAAAAAAAGAGAAUAAGAUAUACUUGCAUUUGUCAUACUGUCCCACAAAUCUUCAUUUUUUGUAUUCUGAUAGCUGUACUUCUGCAGGUACUGCACAAGUCCAGCUUUAAAAACAUCGUCAGUCAGGUAGUCCCUCAACAUAUUUAAUAUACAGGAUCCCUGAAAAAAAGAAACAUCAUCAAACAUUUCUAAAAUCUGAGCUGGAUCUUCCACAGGAGUAGACACAGGAUGCGAUGAAUUUAAUGCAUCCACUUCCAUGGCAUCAAAACAUCUUG